UGGGGAAUAUUGCACAAUGGGCGAAAGCCUGAUGCAGCAACGCCGCGUGAGUGAUGAAGGCCUUCGGGUUGUAAAGCUCUGUCUUUUGGGACGAUAAUGACGGUACCAAAGGAGGAAGCCACGGCUAACUACGUGCCAGCAGCCGCGGUAAUACGUAGGUGGCAAGCGUUGUCCGGAUUUACUGGGCGUAAAGGAUGCGUAGGCGGAUUUUUAAGUGAGAUGUGAAAUACCCGGGCUUAACUUGGGUGCUGCAUUUCAAACUGGGAAUCUAGAGUGCGGGAGAGGAGAAUGGAAUUCCUAGUGUAGCGGUGAAAUGCGUAGAGAUUAGGAAGAACACCAGUGGCGAAGGCGAUUCUCUGGACCGUAACUGACGCUGAGGCAUGAAAGCGUGGGUAGCAAACAGGAUUAGAUACCCUGGUAGUCCACGCCGUAAACGAUGAGUACUAGGUGUAGGAGGUAUCGACCCCUUCUGUGCCGCAGUUAACACAAUAAGUACUCCGCCUGGGAAGUACGAUCGCAAGAUUAAAAACUUAAAUGAAUUGACGGGGUCAUAGUG
rnacentral:rRNA from 1 species